CUGGAUACCGUUGGCGUUGCAGAUACAUUAUAACACGAGUGCAUUUUUAGUUGCGAUUUUAAAUUGUGUGUGUUCGUCGCACUUUUUACGGCAGUGUUGUGGGUGGAGUGACCAAUGCUCUGAUGUCAGUACAGAUGUAGCACACACACUUCAGCACCAUACAUCACUCCACAGGAUACGCCAAGCAGUAGCCUGCCUUGGACAAAUGUAUAAAAAGGAAAGUCAGCUGAUAUUAUUCUGAGGAUAAGUGAUUCCAAAUGACUGAGGUAUAGAAUAAAUACAAUGUGAUAACUAAUGAAGCAAAAGUUUCAAACUUAGACAGUGUUAGCAUACAAGAUCUGUCUGACCAUCAGUAUAAACUGUCCAACUGCCACAGAUGAGCAGUUACAUCUCAUCUUUUCCUUUAACAACUACCUGAGAUGUGCUGCCUGCCAUCGGACAUUGUAAGAGUUUAUGACAUUUGUAAUAGAGCCUAAUGAAAACACAUCACGUCACAGUGAGAAAGCCUUUUCACAUUAAACCACAGAUCUAUGGACACUGUCAGCUGAAUGUACAAAUAUUAACUCUUAACACAUCGUUGCAGUUGCCUUUAUUGGACAGUGUAUGACAAGAAAG